GCCGGGCGUGGUGGUGCGUGCCUGUAAUCCCAGCUACUCAGGAGGCUGAGGCAGGAGAAUCACUUGAACCCAGGAGGCGGAGGUUGUAGUAGUAAGCCAAGAUCAAGCCACUGCACUUCAGCCUGGGCAACAGAGUGAGACUCUGUCUCAA
rnacentral:SRP_RNA from 1 species